rnacentral:rRNA from 1 species
GACGAACGCUGGCGGCGUGCUUAACACAUGCAAGUCGAGCGGUAAGGCCCUUUCGGGGGUACACGAGCGGCGAACGGGUGAGUAACACGUGGGUGACCUGCCCUCAGCUCUGGGAUAAGCCUGGGAAACCGGGUCUAAUACCGGAUAUGACUCCAUGACGCAUGUUGUGGGGUGAAAGCCUUGUGCGGCUGAGGAUGGGCCCGCGGCCUAUCAGCUUGUUGGUGGGGUGAUGGCCUACCAAGGCGACGACGGGUAGCCGGCCUGAGAGGGCGACCGGCCAC